rnacentral:rRNA from 1 species
GAUGAACGCUAGCUACAGGCUUAACACAUGCAAGUCGAGGGGAAACGAUAGAGAAAGCUUGCUUUUUCUAGGCGUCGACCGGCGCACGGGUGAGUAACGCGUAUCCAACCUGCCCACCACUUGGGGAUAACCUUGCGAAAGUAAGACUAAUACCCAAUGACGUCUCUAGAAGACAUCUGAAAGAGAUUAAAGAUUUAUCGGUGAUGGAUGGGGAUGCGUCUGAUUAGCUUGUUGGCGGGGUAACGGCCCACCAAGGCGACGAUCAGUAGCCGGCCUGAGAGGGUGAACGGCCACAUUGGGACUGAGACACGGCCCAAACUCCUACGGGAGGCAGCAGUGGGGAAUAUUGCACAAUGGGGGAAACCCUGAUGCAGCGACGCCGCGUGAGUGAUGAAGUAUUUCGGUAUGUAAAACUCUAUCAGCAGGGAAGAUAAUGACGGUACCUGACUAAGAAGCACCGGCUAAAUACGUGCCAGCAGCCGCGGU